GCGGGUGUAGUUUAGUGGUAGAACGCUUCCUUCCCAAGGAAGAGGUCGUGGGUUCGAUCCCCAUCACCCGCUCCC
rnacentral:tRNA from 1 species